UUAAUACUCCCUCCGACCCAUAUUACUUGUCUCAAAUUUGUCCAAAUAUGAAUGUAUUUAUGUAUAAAAAGCAUCUAGAUACAUAUAAUAUUUCGACAAGUAAUUCCGGACGGAGGGAGUAGCAA
rfam:Brachypodium distachyon strain Bd21 chromosome 4, whole genome shotgun sequence.